UAUCUUUCACAUUGUUGUCCGGUUUUCCGUCCAAACCCAGCGGCGCUUUUUGAAACCGGUCCGGCAGAAACCGGAUAAUGUGUAAUCGCCCUUACACGAUCAACCGGAUUGACAAUAAGUGUCUUCAAUAUCGUGACAGCUAGGCUUUCAACAUCUGAUCUAACCUCAAUCAAUAUUUUUCCACCUUACACGGUCAAUAUCAAAGUACGUAGAAUAGAAGGUAAGGGAUAUCUCCUGUAUAUACACACGGAGAGCGCAUGUGUUACACACACAACGAAGUUAGUAAUAACAAAUCCUCAAUUAGUUCGAAGUACUGAAGUUUUUUCAAUAUUUUAAAAGUUCCAAAAAUCUUGAUUUUAAAAGUUCCAAAAAUCCUGAAAAGAGACAAAAUCGCAAGUCGUGCCGACGGUAAACACGAUAAUAUACCGCUUUUUCAGUGCAACGAAAUGUUGAAGUACCACGUCCCGCGAUGCCGGAACAGAAUAAUUUCGAAUGAGAUAAACUAAUCGGAGACGUUUUCAGUUAUCCCAUGCAUUCGCUCCAUGGAUCGGGAACGGGAACGACACUGCUGCGAUAUAACCUCUCAACACAUUUGUUUAUCGGAUUGCAUUAUUUUUAUAGUACAGAUAGCCGCGCGAGAUAGUUGGUGGAUGAUAAUCCAGACGACCGGAGUUCGAACCCACAUCGGAGCAGUUUUCACCAAACACCAAUCUGUGCCAUUUUAAACAUUCAUAUUCCACUCCCAACACAAG